GUUGGGGGAGUUUCAGAGUCAUUUUGAUGCUAUAAAAAGACCUACCAUCAGGGAGUAUCACAUCCAGCAUACUACAAUAAUUGUUUUGACUACUUUUUGUGAGUUAACAAAAUAUCAAAUAACAAUGAAGGUUCAAACAGUCAUUUUCAUUGCUCUUUUCGUGUCUGCACUAUUUGUCACUGCAAAAGGUGUAAACAGCAGUGAAGAACAACUUAAGCCAAUGGAAGCUUCAAAACAAGAUAAUAAUCCACAAUUUACUAGUCCUCCUGGAGGAAGGCGCAGAGGAGAACAACAACAAAGACAGCCACAUGGAAAGAAAUAGCAUCACUGCAGCCACUGAAGGUCUGUCAAUCAAAACUCAUGAGCUGGUUACUUUUACAAAUAUCCUGCCAGCGAGCAAUCAUAAAGCUUGGAGAUGUUCAUUAUUGCAGUUAAAUUUGAAAAAGUAAUAAAAUAUUUGCUAGCAAGCAA